GGGAAUGUAGCUCAGUGGUAGAGCGACCGCUUCGCAUACGGAAGCCCGGGGUUAGAUCCCCCGCAUCUCCA
rnacentral:tRNA from 1 species